UGAAAGCAGUGGCCUCUUUUCUUCU
rnacentral:piRNA from 1 species